rnacentral:rRNA from 1 species
GACGAACGCUGGCGGCGUGCUUAACACAUGCAAGUCGAACGGAAAGGCCUCUUUCGGGGGGUACUCGGGUGGCGAACGGGUGAGUAACACGUGAGUAACUUGCCCUUGACUUUGGGAUAACUUCAGGAAACUGGGGCUAAUACCGGAUAGGAGCUCCUGCUGCAUGGUGGGGGUUGGAAAGUUUCGGCGGUUGGGGAUGGACUCGCGGCUUAACAGCUUGUUGGUGGGGGAAGGGCUUACCAAGGCUUUGACGGGUAGCCGGACUGAGAAGGUGACCGGCCACACUGGGACCGAGAUAAGGCCCAAGCUCCUAAGGGGGGCCACAGUGGGGAAGCUUGAACAAUGGGGGGAAGCCUGAUGCAGCAGCGCCGUGUGCGGGAUGACGGCCUUCGGGUUGUAAACCGCUUUCGCUCAUAACGAAGCUUUGUGUGACGGUAGUGGGUAAAGAAGCACCGGCUAACUACGUG